GACGAACGCUGGCAGCGUGCUUAACACAUGCAAGUCGAACGGAAAGGCCUGCUUUCCCUUGUGGAUUGCGGGUACUCGAGUGGCGAACGGGUGAGUAACACGUGAGUGAUCUGCCCCCAACUUGGGUAUAAGCCUGGGAAACUGGGUCUAAUUCCCGAUAGGACUGCAGGGUGGUGCCUGUGGUGGAAAACGAUUUUCUAGUGGUUGGGGAUGAGCUCGCGGCCUAUCAGCUUGUUGGUGGGGUAAUGGCCUACCAAGGCGGCGACGGGUAGCCGGCCUGGGAGGGUGGACGGCCACAUUGGGACUGAGAUACGGCCCAGACUCCUACGGGAGGCAGCAGUGGGGAAUAUUGCACAAUGGGCGGAAGCCUGAUGCAGCGACGCCGCGUGGGGGAUGACGGCCUUCGGGUUGUAAACUCCUUUCGACCGCGAGGAAGCCACCUGGUUGGAAGGGUGGUGACGGUAGUGGUAGAAGAAGCACCGGCUAACUACGUG
rnacentral:rRNA from 1 species